UCUCGCGUGGAGCAAACCCGGGAACUCACUCCUUUCCAGUCCGCAUGACUCGGUGAACAUUUCUGGGAGAGUCGGUGGUUCGAAUCCACCCGCGAAAC